rnacentral:rRNA from 1 species
GACGAACGUUGGCGGCGUGCUUAAUACAUGCAAGUCCACUGAAGCAGUGGUAGCAAUAUCGCUGUGGAGGUGGCGCACGGGUGAGUAACACGUAGGUAAUCUGCCUUCAGGUCUGGCAUAACUCCGGGAAACCGGGGCUAAUAGCAGAUGAUGCAGCGGCUCGACAUCGAGACAGUUGUUAAAGCUAUGGCGCCUGAAGAUGAGCCUGCGUCUGAUUAGCUAGUUGGCGGGGUAACGGCCCACCAAGGCAACGAUCAGUAGCUGGUCUGAGAGGAUGAUCAGCCACACUGGAACUGAUACACGGUCCAGACUCCUACGGGAGGCAGCAGUAAGGAAUAUUGCUCAAUGGGAGAAAUCCUGAAGCAGCAACGCCGCGUGAGGGACGAAGGGCUUUUGCUUGUAAACCUCUGUAGUGAGAGAAAAAAAUCCCAAUCUUUGGGACAUGAUGGUAUCUCAAAAGUAAGCCCCGGCUAACUACGUG